rnacentral:rRNA from 1 species
CAAUAGCGUAUAUUUAAGUUGUUGCAGUUAAAAAGCUCGUAGUUGGAUUUCUGCUGAUCGCUGUCGGUCUGCCGUCAGGUGUGUACUGGCAGUGUUUGGCAUCUAUUCGAGAUUGGGUGUCCACUUGAUUGUGUGCACUCGAUGUCGGAGCUAAUACUUUGAGAAAAUUAGAGUGUUCCACGCAGGCGCGUGCCUUGAAUACUGCAGCAUGGGAUAUUGGAAGGCCGAUUGAGCUUUCUUGUUGGUUCUCGGUUUGAUCGGAAUGAUUAAUAGGGAUAGUUGGGGGCACCUGUAUUGCGUUGUCAGAGGUGAAAUUCUUGGAUUUACGCAAGACAAACAGCUGCGAAAGCGUCUGCCAAGGAUGUUUCCAUUAA